AACGCAAAUUGCGCUUCUCUCCGGAGGAGCACGUCUGUUUGAGCAUCAUUAAGCAACCACUCACAGUGUUAUUCUUUUUUUUUUCAUUCAUUGAAAUAAAGAGUAACGAUUGUGGAAUCUGAGACUUCUUUUCCUCCAAGUUAAGGGUCUUGAAAUUCAUUGAACUAUCGAAGCUGAUGUUACUUUUGUUUUCAAUUUGCAAAUUCGGCCGAGAUACAGGUUCCCUCUUUUCUUUUUUUCGAUCUCAUUCUCAAUUUAGUAUUUAAAUCUGAGGAGAGGAAAAAGAAAAACUAAACAUUGUAUUAUCAAACAGUAUGUUUGAACAAUGCAAAUUUGAUCUAAAAUCAGGUGAGACUACCCGCUGAACUUAA
rnacentral:misc_RNA from 1 species